UAACAAUGGUUGUGAAGGAAUUUAUUAAUAACUAUAAGUCAUAGAAGCAGAGUCUUAUGCAAAUAGGAAGAUCAUUACAAAACAAUUGGCAGUUCCGCGGUUACAGUUGAUCAUCAGCAUGAUCACUUGUUAAUUGCCCAUUGGCAAACCAGGAUUCAGUGGAUUACAGAUGAGCUCAGUUGCUGAAUAUUAAAUCUACCAACUUGCACAGAUAUAUGCCAUUUUAUAAGAUGCCAUGGAAUAGUGGGGAAUAAUGACAAGAACCCAGGGCCAUUGAGCUUAGAGAGUUGGGCACCUAAUAAAGUCUUUGAAGAAGAAGGCUGUCCCUUCAGUGACAAGUGAAAUGAGCUGGUGGUCCAUAACCUUCCUACAGCAUCAACAUUAUUGGUUCAGCUUCAAUUAAACUAUUAACUUUGAUAUGGAAAUAAUCGCCAUAAAAGGUUCGAUGAAGCUACAAUUAGCUCCAAUUUUGGACCACAUCAAAGCAAUCCAAGCUGUUUGAAAGCGAUGCCUCAUGCUAUGCCUUCGCACGAUCUAAUCCAGCAAAG
rnacentral:lncRNA from 1 species